AAGCCCACAGCCACACAACACAACUCAAAAGCUUCUUCAACCUCUCUGUCUCAGCGCCUUCCGCAACAUACACGCCCUAAACAAAACCGCCACCCUCUCUCUCUCUCUCUAUCACACACACACACACACACACACAUACUUAGAGGUGGACUUCAACUUUUCAGGAUUAUGGGCUCAUCAAAUAUCAGAGAUCUGUUGACUUCAUUUAGUCCAUCUUUGGAUUUCUUUGCUAUAAGCUCUGGAGAUGGUCGAAUUAAGAUUUGGGACACUUUGAAGGGACAGAUCCAGACUGAAUUUGCGGAUAUCACAUCAACUGACGAGGCAAAUAUCUUUACCAUAGGGCAGAAAAGAGGGCACCUCUCAGUUGAUUAUACAUGCAUGAAGUGGUUAUCUUUGGACAAAAAGAGAAAAAGGAAGCUUGGGUGCUCAUUGUUAGUCUUAGGAACAGGUAGCGGUGAUGUUUUAGCACUCGACGUCUCUGCUGGUCAAUUGAAAUGGAGGGUUAGUGACUGCCAUCCUGGGGGUGUCAGUUCCAUUUCAUCCUCUACACAUGUUUCAUGUGUUUACACAGCGGGUGCUGAUGGUAUGAUAUGUGAAAUUGAUUCUCUGUCAGGAAACUUGUUGCAGAAGUUCAAAGCUUCUACGAAGGCAAUAUCUUGUAUUUCUGUUUCGUCAGAUGGGAAGAUAUUAGCAACUGCAGCUGCACAGUUGAAGAUUUUUGGCUGUUCUGAUCACAAAAAGAUACAGAAGUUUUCUGGGCAUCCUGGAGCUGUUCGAUGUAUGAUUUUUACUGAAGAUGGGAAGUACAUCCUCUCCUCUGCUGUUGGUGAAAGAUAUAUAGCACUAUGGAGGAUAGGUGGUGGCAAAAAGCAGUCAGCAAGCUGUGUUCUUGCAAUGGAGCACCCUGCUGUCUUCCUCGAUUGUAGGUGCAUUGAAAGUGUGGAAGUAGAUGAUGCAGGCCUAUAUGUUUUGGCUAUUUCAGAAAUUGGUGUUUGUUAUCUCUGGUUUGCUCAGAAUAUUGAGGAAUUACGCAAUACCAAGCCCACAAAAGUCUCAUUAGCUUUUGAGGACGUUCCCUCCAUAAAGCACAAGGGUGCUUUACCUACUAUAUUUGCUGCGAAAUUACAAGGCAUUACCAAGCAUAUGUCUGGGCAGGUGUUUGUUGCAUCUGGGUUAUUAGUUAAGCCAUCAUUUCAGAAAAUUUUAGUGCAUUCUGGCACAGAUGUGAAGUUAAAUAUCUCCUAUGAUGGCGUUCUUCUACCAAUGAGUCAAUCUCGUGUCAAAUCUAAGAAAGGACUGGAUUUACAAUAUGGAGUUACUGCAUUAGACCGUGCAAAUGCGGAGGAUGCCUUACUUCCAAUUCCCAAGAUUCUUGAUUCUCAUGAAAAAAAGAGAACGCAUAAAAAAUUGAGUAUUGAUGUUGAUGAGGUAAUGGCUGAUUUGGGUGACAACAAGAGUCACGCUGAGUUGAGUAAUGAUGACAUGGCAGAAGUUGACACUGAAGCACUUUGCAUGGAGGACCGGCUGAGAUCACUGGGGCUACUGAGCAAUGCAGAUGAUCUUGCAUCAGACUUCACAAAUAAUUCAGCAACAUUCAAGGGUAUUGAUCUUGAAGCUGAUAUGCCACAAAGGAAGAUAAGGGAAGCUGUUUUAUCUAUGGUAUCUAGUGAUGCAUACAUGCUAUUGCAAGUCCUGGUGGCCAAGUGGCAAUCGAGGACAUGCAGUGGAAAGUAUGUUCUACCAUGGAUAUAUCAUAUUUUGGUGAAUCAUGGUCAUCAUGUCAUGUCUCAGGAGCCUGCAUCCCAGAUGCUUAACUCCUUAUGCAAGAUUACCAAAUGCAGAGGUGCUGCAAUCCAAUCUGUAUUGCAAUUAUCUGGUCGUUUGCAACUUGUGAUGGCACAGAUUGACAAGGCUUCACAAAACAAAAUUCAAAUUUUGGCACAUGAUAACGAAAUUGAUGAAAGUGAAGAUGAGGAUGAAGAUGUCAAUGAAAUUCUCUUUGGAGAAGAAGAUGAUGAAUCUGAAUUAAGCAGUGAUGAAAAUAACUAGGUGCAAUCUACCAUAAGAGGAUGACCAAAAUCUAUGAUGAGAAACUUUUUCAUCCUGUGGGAUCUGCCUUUCUAGCAGUUUCAAGAGAAUCAAAACAGAAGGCUUAGCAUGGUGUACUUCAAUUUGCACUGGGCUGUUUACUGAUGGUGCUGCAAUAUAAAUCUGUUUUAGAAUCUAGCAAGCCCAUGGAUGUUGAUUGAAGGAAGCUAGCCGCCUGUGUGGGGUUUGCUGUAGUUAAUUAGUUGCAUACUUGUACCAUUAUGGUCUAGGACUCUAGAUGAUGCAAACUGUUAGUGUAUAAUGUGCAUGAACAUAAAAUCAUAUAAGGUGAUAAAUUAAUACCUAGAUUCAAGUUCUUUUUUUGGUAAGGGAAUUAUGGGAAUGUUCAUGUAGAUCAGAAGCAUUGUGAUGGCAAUUGGAAUAUUUGAGAUGGCAGGGAACUGUAAGAAUUGUUGCAGACCUGCAGUUGUUUAGAUCAAUAUUAGUUCUAAAUUUAACCAUGUCCAUACGAGAUAGAUGGGAAUUUCUGCAUUUUAGGCCCUUGUGAUGGUUUUCCCCCGCUCCCGCAUCAUGUAUCUUGUAGGUUUGGACUUUGUUGUGAUUAUAAAUGUCAUAGCAGUUGCAUUCACUUCUUUGUUAAGUUGAGAUUGGAAAGAAUGGUUCAGAAGUUUAAAGUGAGACUUCUUUAUAUUCAUUGGCAGAGUUGAUUUUA